AUGAACGCUGGCGGCGUGCCUAAUACAUGCAAGUCGAGCGAACAGACGAGGAGCUUGCUCCUCUGACGUUAGCGGCGGACGGGUGAGUAACACGUGGAUAACCUACCUAUAAGACUGGGAUAACUUCGGGAAACCGGAGCUAAUACCGGAUAAUAUAUUGAACCGCAUGGUUCAAUAGUGAAAGACGGUUUUGCUGUCACUUAUAGAUGGAUCCGCGCCGCAUUAGCUAGUUGGUAAGGUAACGGCUUACCAAGGCAACGAUGCGUAGCCGACCUGAGAGGGUGAUCGGCCACACUGGAAGUGAGACACGGUCCAGACUCCUACGGGAGGCAGCAGUAGGGAAUCUUCCGCAAUGGGCGAAAGCCUGACGGAGCAACGCCGCGUGAGUGAUGAAGGUCUUCGGAUCGUAAAACUCUGUUAUUAGGGAAGAACAAAUGUGUAAGUAACUAUGCACGUCUUGACGGUACCUAAUCAGAAAGCCACGGCUAACUACGUG
rnacentral:rRNA from 1 species